AUUAUAAAUUGUAAAUUAAAAUAAAACAUUUUAGUCUAAAAAGUAAAAAUAUAUUUUUUUAAAGCCUGGAAUGUGAUCAAAUCUUAACUUUUUUAUUUCGGAUUGUCAAUGUCAUAAGCUAGUACCAAAAUAUCCUUCUUUCUGUUUGACGUUUGGCUGGUCGAAUCAGACUAAACCAAAAUGGUGAACGUACCAAAACAACGUAGGACUUACUGCAAGAAAUGCAAGGUCCACAAAGUACACAAAGUUUCACAAUACAAAAAAUCCAAGGAAAGGCACGCCGCUCAGGGUAGGAGACGUUAUGACCGCAAACAACAGGGUUACGGUGGUCAGUCCAAACCCAUCUCUCAAAAGAAGGCAAGUUAUCAUCAACACUAACAUAACCUAAGACCGGGAACACGCUUUAAAUUUUUUAGAUUCUUAACAUCAGAAGAAUAUGUUUAAUGAGACGAUUCAAAAAAUUUUAUUGUUUUGUGUAAAGUUUAGUAAACUUCGAAAACAAUUUCAUUUCAAUUCAAAUUUAAAAGUAACUUCAUAACGGCUAUAUGUUAAAUAGUAAACUUCUAAGUAAUUUCGUGAUCUAGUUUUACUUAACAAGUUAACUUCGAUUCAUUACGGAUUACUAACAGAUAAAUAUUUUCAGGCGAAAACCACCAAAAAGAUUGUACUCCGUCUUGAGUGUGCUGACUGCAAGGUUCGAUCACAGGUGGCCUUGAAGCGUUGCAAGCACUUCGAACUCGGAGGAGACAAGAAGAGAAAGGGACAGAUGAUUCAGUUCUAAACAUGUAAUAAAUAAGAAUAACAACUAA